AUUGAACGCUGGCGGCAGGCUUAACACAUGCAAGUCGAACGAUGAUUAUCUAGCUUGCUAGAUAUGAUUAGUGGCGGACGGGUGAGUAACAUUUAGGAAUCUGCCUAGUAGUGGGGGAUAGCUCGGGGAAACUCGAAUUAAUACCGCAUACGACCUACGGGUGAAAGGGGGCGCAAGCUCUUGCUAUUAGAUGAGCCUAAAUCAGAUUAGCUAGUUGGUGGGGUAAAGGCCCACCAAGGCGACGAUCUGUAACUGGUCUGAGAGGAUGAUCAGUCACACCGGAACUGAGACACGGUCCGGACUCCUACGGGAGGCAGCAGUGGGGAAUAUUGGACAAUGGGGGCAACCCUGAUCCAGCCAUGCCGCGUGUGUGAAGAAGGCCUUUUGGUUGUAAAGCACUUUAAGCAGGGAGGAGAGGCUAAUGGUUAAUACCCAUUAGAUUAGACGUUACCUGCAGAAUAAGCACCGGCUAACUCUGUGCCAGCAGCCGCGGUAAUACAGAGGGUGCGAGCGUUAAUCGGAAUUACUGGGCGUAAAGCGAGUGUAGGUGGCUCAUUAAGUCACAUGUGAAAUCCCCGGGCUUAACCUGGGAACUGCAUGUGAUACUGGUGGUGCUAGAAUAUGUGAGAGGGAAGUAGAAUUCCAGGUGUAGCGGUGAAAUGCGUAGAGAUCUGGAGGAAUACCGAUGGCGAAGGCAGCUUCCUGGCAUAAUAUUGACACUGAGAUUCGAAAGCGUGGGUAGCAAACAGGAUUAGAUACCCUGGUAGUCCACGCCGUAAACGAUGUCUACUAGCCGUUGGGGUCCUUGAGACUUUAGUGGCGCAGUUAACGCGAUAAGUAGACCGCCUGGGGAGUACGGCCGCAAGGUUAAAACUCAAAUGAAUUGACGGGGGCCCGCACAAGCGGUGGAGCAUGUGGUUUAAUUCGAUGCAACGCGAAGAACCUUACCUGGUCUUGACAUAGUGAGAAUCCUGCAGAGAUGCGGGAGUGCCUUCGGGAAUUCACAUACAGGUGCUGCAUGGCUGUCGUCAGCUCGUGUCGUGAGAUGUUGGGUUAAGUCCCGCAACGAGCGCAACCCUUUUCCUUAUUUGCCAGCGGGUUAAGCCGGGAACUUUAAGGAUACUGCCAGUGACAAACUGGAGGAAGGCGGGGACGACGUCAAGUCAUCAUGGCCCUUACGACCAGGGCUACACACGUGCUACAAUGGUAGGUACAGAGGGUUGCUACACGGCGAUGUGAUGCUAAUCUCAAAAAGCCUAUCGUAGUCCGGAUUGGAGUCUGCAACUCGACUCCAUGAAGUCGGAAUCGCUAGUAAUCGCAGAUCAGAAUGCUGCGGUGAAUACGUUCCCGGGCCU
rnacentral:rRNA from 1 species